rnacentral:rRNA from 1 species
AACGCCCCCGAUCUCGUCUGACCUUGGAAGCUAAG